UGAGACUCUGUGCGCGUGCAUAUCAAUAAGCGGAGGAAAAGAAACUAACAAGGAUUCCCCUAGUAACGGCGAGUGAAGCGGGAAGAGCUCAAAUUUGAAAUCUUAAAGAGUUUCCCUUUACGAAUUGUAGUUUAAAGAAGUGUUUUCUGUUGAGGUUUUGGUAAAAGUUCUUUGGAAUAGGACAUCAUCGAGGGUGAGAAUCCCGUAUUUGACCUUUACUUUCAACUUUGUGAUACACUUUCAAAGAGUCGGAUUGUUUGGGAAUGCAGUCCAAAAUGGGUGGUAAAUUUCAUCUAAAGCUAAAUAUUGGCGAGAGACCGAUAGCGAACAAGUACCGUGAGGGAAAGAUGAAAAGAACUUUGAAAAGAGAGUUAAACAGUACGUGAAAUUGUCAAAAGGGAAGCGUUUGACACCAGUGUUGUUUUUCUGAAAAUCAAUUAAAGAACUGUUUAUGCUAAGUUGUUAGACUUUAUCAGCUAACUGUUUAGUUUUGAGCUUUUCUUUAAUGCACUUUUCAGUUAACAAGUCAACAUCAAUUUCUUUUGCUGUAAAAAAGCUUGAGGAAGGUGGCUUGAGAUUCGUCUUAAGUGUUUAUAGCCUCUUGCCUAUGCAGUCGGAGAGAUUGAGGUCUGCAGCGUAGAUCCUUCGGGGCUAAAUGCAUUUGUGCUAAGUUAUAGCAUUUUAUAGACAACUUGUUGACUAUGAUUUGUCUUGUAGCUUACUCGCUUAUGUUAUUUUACCUACGCUUAGGAUGUUGAAGAUGUAGCACAUCAU
rnacentral:rRNA from 1 species